rnacentral:rRNA from 1 species
UGGGGAAUAUUGCACAAUGGGCGCAAGCCUGAUGCAGCCAUGCCGCGUGUAUGAAGAAGGCCUUCGGGUUGUAAAGUACUUUCAGCGAGGAGGAAGGCGUUGUGGUUAAUAACCGCAACGAUUGACGUUACUCGCAGAAGAAGCACCGGCUAACUCCGUGCCAGCAGCCGCGGUAAUACGGAGGGUGCAAGCGUUAAUCGGAAUUACUGGGCGUAAAGCGCACGCAGGCGGUCUGUCAAGUCGGAUGUGAAAGCCCCGGGCUCAACCUGGGAACUGCAUCCGAAACUGGCAGGCGAGAGUCUUGUAGAGGAGGGUAGAAUUCCAGGUGUAGCGGUGAAAUGCGUAGAGAUCUGGAGGAAUACCGGUGGCGAAGGCGGCCCCCUGGACAAAGACUGACGCUCAGGUGCGAAAGCGUGGGGAGCAAACA